UACAGAGGGGGCAAGCGUUUGUUCGGAAUUACUGGGCGUAAAGGGCGCGUAGGCGGCCGCCUAAGUCGGACGUGAAAUCCCUCGGCUUAACCGGGGAACUGCGUCCGAUACUGGGUGGCUCGAAUCCGGGAGAGGGAAGUGGAAUUCCAGGUGUAGAGGUGAAAUUCGUAGAUAUUCGCAAGAACACCAGUGGCGAAGGCGGCUCACUGGCCCGGUACGUGACGCUGAGGCACGAAAGCGUGGGGAGCAAACAGGG
rnacentral:rRNA from 1 species